UAAUGUGCUGUUUAAACAUUUAAAGCGCCGUCACUGUCAGUGAUCAUCACACUGACAGAUCACACAACACUUCAUUGAGAUCACACCUGAUCACGGUCGACUGGUGCUUUAAAAGUUUAAAUCAUCACAGCUUUUCCUUAUUCAGGUCUGUGAUGACCUGAUCAGCGCUCCUGAAAAUAUCAG